rnacentral:rRNA from 1 species
CAGCUAGUUGGUGAGGUAACGGCUCACCAAGGCGACGAUCCGUAGCUGGUCUGAGAGGAUGAUCAGCCACACUGGGACUGAGACACGGCCCAGACUCCUACGGGAGGCAGCAGUGGGGAAUAUUGGACAAUGGGCGCAAGCCUGAUCCAGCCAUGCCGCGUGAGUGACGAAGGCCUUAGGGUUGUAAAGCUCUUUUGGCGGGGACGAUAAUGACGGUACCCGCAGAAUAAGCUCCGGCUAACUUCGUGCCAGCAGCCGCGGUAAUACGAAGGGAGCUAGCGUUGUUCGGAAUCACUGGGCGUAAAGCACACGUAGGCGGGUUUGUCAGUCAGGGGUGAAAUCCCGGAGCUCAACUUCGGAACUGCCCUUGAUACAGCAAGCCUUGAGUCCGGAAGAGGUGGGUGGAAUUCCUAGUGUAGAGGUGAAAUUCGUAGAUAUUAGGAAGAACACCGGUGGCGAAGGCGGCCCACUGGUCCGGCACUGACGCUG